rnacentral:rRNA from 1 species
GACGAACGCUGGCGGCGUGCUUAACACAUGCGAGUCGAACGGAAAGGCCCUGCUUGCAGGGUGCUCGAGUGGCGAACGGGUGAGUAACACGUGGGUGAUCUGCCCCUUACUUUGGGAUAAGCCUGGGAAACUGGGUCUAAUACUGGAUAGGACCAUGCUGUAGGUGGUGUGGUGGAAAGAUUAGUUUCGGUAAGGGAUGAGCUCGCGGCCUAUCAGCUUGUUGGUGGGGUAAUGGCCUACCAAGGCGUCGACGGGUAGCCGGCCUGAGAGGGUGGACGGCCACAUUGGGACUGGGAUACGGCCCAGACUCCUACGGGAGGCAGCAGUGGGGAAUAUUGCACAAUGGGCGCAAGCCUGAUGCAGCGACGCCGCGUGGGGGAUGACGGCCUUCGGGUUGUAAACUCCUUUCAGCCAUGACGAAGCCCUUGUGGUGACGGUAGUGGUAGAAGAAGCACCGGCUAACUACGUG